rnacentral:rRNA from 1 species
AGAGCGAACGCUGGCGGCAUGCUUAACACAUGCAAGUCGCACGGGCGAGCUUCGGCUGUCAGUGGCGGACGGGUGAGUAACGCGUAGGUAUCUAUCCUUGGGUGGGGGACAACCGUGGGAAACUACGGCUAAUACCGCAUGAUGACCGAGGUCCAAAGCUCGCGAGAGCGCCUGGGGAGGAGCCUGCGUACGAUUAGCUAGUUGGUGGGGUAAAGCCUACCAAGGCGACGAUCGUUAGCUGGUCUGAGAGGAUGAUCAGCCACAUUGGGACUGAGACACGGCCCAAACUCCUACGGGAGGCAGCAGUGGGGAAUAUUGGACAAUGGGCGCAAGCCUGAUCCAGCAAUGCCGCGUGUGUGAAGAAGGUCUUCGGAUUGUAAAGCACUUUCGACGGGGACGAUGAUGACGGUACCCGUAGAAGAAGCCCCGGCUAACUUCGCGCCAGCAGCCGC